AAUCUUGUUACCCCUGGGAUUUUGGUGCCUUUAAUCUGAGAAGAAGUACAUAUCCAUUCAAUAAUCCAAAAGGACUUGAAAACUGUUCUUCUCUGAACUAAAGCUACAAUGUCAUGGGAUUUAAAGAAUCAAG
ensembl:misc_RNA